rnacentral:lncRNA from 1 species
UAAUAAACAUUAUAGCUUGUAGGUUACUCUUCAUCAAUACCUAAUGCAUGCUUUACUUAAAGGGCUGCACAUUUUUUUUUUUUACAGUGAUGUGUACACUUGAUAGAACUGCGUUGUCCUUGUGCUGACAUCAUGUCUGUGUCCCUAUAUCUCCACCUCCACCCCCACCCCCAUGCUGGCUGUUAAGGUUGUUUCAGAUCUGAAGCUCUGCGAAGCCGAACAAAAUCCAUCUGUCUUUGCUGCAGCCACACACGCUCCUCUAAGAACUCUUACGUCAUGCAGGAUGGGGGAGUCCACAGGUGGAGAAUAGAAGCCCACUGCUGCUGUCGUUUGCGUCCCUGGAGCUGAUGAGCCUGGGUUUGUUUUCAGAUGUUUGAAGCCACGCAUGUAACUUUUUCUUGAGAAAUAACUGGUGCAAGCCCUUCACAUACUUAUCGGUGGAAUCUUCUCUUGCUGGCUGUAAUGAUUUCUUCAGAUAUUACGAUUAUUAAUUCCAUUUCGUAUUGUUAAUAAAUGGGCUCUUUAGUGUUGCAUAGCUUUUGAGCUUU